UAUAAGGACGUCUCUGUAGAGAAAUGGGUCGUUUUAGUUUUAGUUCUCUUUGCAUGUCAUUUCCCGACAUGCACAUCCCUUGUUUGGAGUUCUUAAAAUUAACAAAACUCUUUUUCAAAAGUCCUUAAUGAUGAACUGCCCAAAGGACAGGAUACCAGUCAGCUACAGAGUUUGCAGCGACAGAGGACAGAGGGAAUGCCCUUCAUAACACUAUGGCGUUUAGGACUUUUCACCUAGGAUUCAGUACAAGGAGGCUUCUCCCCAGGGCUGUGUUCAGCCUUGACUGUGGCUCAUGUGAUUCCAGUCUGGCAUUCUGGCAAGUUCUUCGUUCUGGAGGCACAAUGGAUGAAGGUCCAGAUAACAAAGUAGACAGCCCAAAUGACUCUGAAGUUUUGUCCUAGGAGCAACUAUGGUCUGAUGAUCUGAAAUCAUGUUCCAGUAACCACCUCCCACCACCCGUGGUCUCUUUAGCAUUGGUAUCAGAUAAAGGAAGAAGACCUAACAUCUCUGGUUUCAGUGGAGGGAGACAGAGAUGCCUGUCUUUCAAAGCUUCUUGUGAGGAGUCAUGAUGCUGGAAAUUGCUUACCUCCUGUGGUAUGACCAGAGGUAGACUUCUCUGAGGAGUUUACAAGGUCUGAUCUGUUACAGAAUGGGUUGGAAACCUGAGGAACAAAUAGGGAAGUCUGAGCAGAUGUCAAUAAUAAAUAUCAGAUCACUCCCUCAUUUAUGGUAUUUUUUUUCCCCUUUAAUUGAUUGCUAUAUGCUGUGAGCAAGAGCUAAGGGAAUUAAUAAAUGAA